UACAGAGGGGGCAAGCGUUGUUCGGAAUUACUGGGCGUAAAGGGCGCGUAGGCGGCCGGCUAAGUCGAACGUGAAAUCCCCGGGCUCAACCCGGGAACUGCGUCCGAUACUGGCAGGCUUGAAUCCGGGAGAGGGAUGCGGAAUUCCAGGUGUAGCGGUGAAAUGCGUAGAUAUCUGGAGGAACACCGGUGGCGAAGGCGGCAUCCUGGACCGGUAUUGACGCUAGGCGCGGAAGCCAGGGGGA
rnacentral:rRNA from 1 species